GGGGUUGUGGCUCAGUGGUAGAGUGCUCACCUAGCACAUGUGAGGCACUGGGUUCAAUCCUCAGUACCACUU
rnacentral:tRNA from 1 species